CAAAUUAAUGCUUAUGCGUCUUAUUUACACUAAGAAAUUUGGUUUAUGAACCUGAUUUGA
rnacentral:tRNA from 1 species